rnacentral:rRNA from 1 species
CGGGUGAGUAACACGUGAGUAACCUCGCCCCCUUCUUCGUGGAUAACCGCAUGAAAGUGUGGCUAAUACGGGAUAUUCUGCGCCUGCUGCAUGGUGGGUGUGGGAAAGAUAUUGUUUCGGUGGGGGAUGGGCUCGCGGCCUAUCAGCUUGUUGGUGGGGUGAUGGCUACCAAGGCGGUGACGGGUAGCCGGCCUGAGAGGGUGGACGGUCACACUGGGACUGAGACACGGCCCAG